GAUGAAGAACGCAGCGAAAUGCGAUAAGUAAUGCGAAUUGCAGAAUUCCAGUGAGUCAUCGAAUCUUUGAACGCACAUUGCGCCCAUUGGUAUUCCGAUGGGCAUGCCUGUUCGAGCGUCAUUACAACCCUCAGGCCCCCGGGCCUGGCGUUGGGGAUCGGCGGAGCCCCCCGUGGGCACACGCCGUCCCCCAAAUACAGUGGCGGUCCCGCCGCAGCUUCCAUCGCGUAGUAGCUAACACCUCGCGACUGGAGAGCGGCGCGGCCACGCCGUAAAACACCCAACUCUUCUGAAGUUGACCUCGAAUCAGGUAGGAAUACCCGCUGAACUUAAGCAUAUCAAUAAGCGGAGGA
rnacentral:misc_RNA from 1 species